rnacentral:rRNA from 1 species
ACGAGUGGCGGACGGGUGAGUAAUGCUUGGGAACUUGCCUUUGCGAGGGGGAUAACAGUUGGAAACGACUGCUAAUACCGCAUAAUGUCUUCGGACCAAACGGGGCUUCGGCUCCGGCGCAAAGAGAGGCCCAAGUGAGAUUAGCUAGUUGGUAAGGUAACGGCUUACCAAGGCGACGAUCUCUAGCUGUUCUGAGAGGAAGAUCAGCCACACUGGGACUGAGACACGGCCCAGACUCCUACGGGAGGCAGCAGUGGGGAAUAUUGCACAAUGGGGGAAACCCUGAUGCAGCCAUGCCGCGUGUGUGAAGAAGGCCUUCGGGUUGUAAAGCACUUUCAGUUGUGAGGAAAAGUUAGUAGUUAAUACCUGCUAGCCGUGACGUUAACAACAGAAGAAGCACCGGCUAACUCCGUGCCAGCAGCCGCGGUAAUACGGAGGGUGCGAGCGUUAAUCGGAAUUACUGGGCGUAAAGCGCACGCAGGCGGUUUGUUAAGCUAGAUGUGAAAGCCCCGGGCUCAACCUGGGAUGGUCAUUUAGAACUGGCAGACUAGAGUCUUGGAGAGGGGAGUGGAAUUCCAGGUGUAGCGGUGAAAUGCGUAGAUAUCUGGAGGAACAUCAGUGGCGAAGGCGACUCCCUGGCCAAAGACUGACGCUCAUGUGCGAAAGUG